rnacentral:rRNA from 1 species
GACGAACGCUGGCGGCGUGCUUAACACAUGCAAGUCGAACGGAGUGGCGAACGGGUGAGUAACGCGUAAUCAACCUGCCCUUCAGAGGGGGAUGACAGUUGGAAACGAUUGCUAAUACCUCCUACUGCAGGUGGGGAUUGCGGCGGAUUCGGUAGUUGGGGGGGUAACGGCCCACCAAGGCGGAGAUCAGUAGACGGGCUGAGAGGAUGGACGGGCAAAAUGGGAACGGGACACGGGCCAGACUCCUAAGGGAGGCAGCAGUGGGGAAUCUUCCGAAAUGGACGAAAGUCUGACGGAGGAAAGGCGCGGGAGGGAUGACGGCCUUCGGGGUGUAAAGCGCUGUUAAGCGGGACGCGGUACCGGAAUAGAAAGCAACGGCUAACUACGUGCCAGCAGCCGCGGUAAUUC